rnacentral:rRNA from 1 species
GUUUCGUCCAUGUGGUGGAUUCAGUCGAGAUACCAGCUGGCUGCAACUGUUUAUUAAAAACACAGCACAGGGAAAACACGAAAGUGGACGUAUACGGUGUGACGCCUGCCCGGUGCCGGAAGGUUAAUUGAUGGGGUCAGCGCAAGCGAAGCUCCUGAUCGAAGCCCCGGUAAACGGCGGCCGUAACUAUAACGGUCCUAAGGUAGCGAAAUUCCUUGUCGGGUAAGUUCCGACCUGCACGAAUGGCGUAAUGAUGGCCAGGCUGUCUCCACCCGGGACUCAGUGAAAUUGAACUCGCUGUGAAGAUGCAGUGUACCCGCGGCAAGACGGAAAGACCCCGUGAACCUUUACUAUAGCUUGACACUGAACACUGGUCCUUGAUGUGCAGGAUAGGUGGGAGGCUUUGAAGUGUGGACGCCAGUCUGCAUGGAGCCAUCCUUGAAAUACCACCCUUUAAUGGCUGGUGUUCUAACGUGGGCCCCUGACCGGGGUUGCGGACAGUGUCUGGUGGGUAGUUUGACUGGGGCGGUCUCCUCCUAAAGAGUAACGGAGGAGCACGAAGGUUGGCUAAUCCUGGUCGGACAUCAGGAGGUUAGUGCAAUGGCAUAAGCCAGCUUGACUGCGAGCGUGACGGCGCGAGCAGGUGCGAAAGCAGGUCAUAGUGAUCCGGUGGUUCUGAAUGGAAGGGCCAUCGCUCAACGGAUAAAAGGUACUCCGGGGAUAACAGGCUGAUACCGCCCAAGAGUUCAUAUCGACGGCGGUGUUUGGCACCUCGAUGUCGGCUCAUCACAUCCUGGGGCUGAAGUAGGUCCCAAGGGUAUGGCUGUUCGCCAUUUAAAGUGGUACGCGAGCUGGGUUUAGAACGUCGUGAGACAGUUCGGUCCCUAUCUGCCGUGGGCGCUGGAAGAUUGAGGGGGGCUGCUCCUAGUACGAGAGGACCGGAGUGGACGCAUCACUGGUGUUCGGGUUGUCAUGCCAAUGGCACUGCCCGGUAGCUACAUGCGGAAGAGAUAAGUGCUGAAAGCAUCUAAGCACGAAACUUGCCCCGAGAUGAAUCUUCCCUGAGCCUUUAAGGCUCCUGAAGGAACGUUGAAGACGACGACGUUGAUAGGCCGGGUGUGUAAGCGCAGCGAUGCGUUGAGCUAACCGGUACUAAUGAACCGUGAGGCUUAACCUU